rnacentral:lncRNA from 1 species
CAUGGGACGGGGAAAGGGGAAACUUUUAAGCCUGAAAUCCUCUAUUAACCUACUGAAUGUUCACUGAUACUUUCAGAAAAAGCUCGAGUCCUAGAAAUGUGUCAGAAACUUCAGCAGGCAGAAUUUUACCUAAAACUGCCUUUAGUGUGGAUUUCUGUCUUACCUAUGUUGCCUUCUGAACUAACAUAUAGUUUAGAAGGCCCGAUCUGAUGGAAUGUAAUUUAGAAAUCAGUUGUGUCUGACGUUGGUAUCAAUAGU